rnacentral:lncRNA from 1 species
AACAAUCGUCGGAGGCGCGUGAGAUGACUCGCGAUAAUUGGGCCUGCGGAUGGUGGGCCUGGGCCUGAGCCUGGGCUGCGAUUAACGCUAUGAGGCGUUCCCUGAGACAGGAAGCGCAGACGCCGACGUUGCUGGUAACGUCUAAGGUAUGUUUCUUGCACUUCAUUUGGGUGUUGCAUAGGAGGGCAUUAGGGUUAUGUUGUUUUGCAGCAGCAUUCGUGGGUGUGUGAGAAAGAGAGAGUAUGAAUGGUGGUGCAGUGAGGGAAGUGCAGAAAAGGAGAUCUGAUGGAGGAUUAAGAUGGGUUGGUUUGUCUUCUUAGAAAAGAGAGAUAGUGAGGGUGAGUGAGAAGCUGAAAGAGGAGAGAGAAAGCAUUUGUUGGUGUUGUUGUUGUUGUUGAGUGUGUGUGAGUGGAAGUUGAGGCCAAUUGAAUCGAAAUGGUAGAUUGUAUUAUAUCUGGGAGAGAAAAAGGAGGAGAGAGAAACAGAGACGCAAAAGGUGAAGAAGGAGUCAAAUUCAUUAGAAAAAGCUUCUCUUCUCCUUCACCCCACAAAAGUAAAUUUUGAAACUGCUGUUCUACUAUUUAGUGAACAGUAAAAAAAUUAAUAGGGGCAUACUUGUUUUUGGUUUAAUUAAUACAAAUCAAUGUAAGUUUUAAAUAUAUAACUGGGUCAAACUUUAGGGUAAUCAAAUUUUCUGUUUAUAAUAAAUUUAAAUAAGUCCUAUGUAGGAAAAUAAAGUAAAAAAAUAAAUGGGUAAAUGGCAUUUGGAGAAACGAAAAAGGGAAAAAUAAUAGAGUUGAUAAUUGGUGUAUAAAAAUGAGAGUAGGGACAAAUUGAAUUGUAAACUUACAUAGGUUGAAGAAAAGGAUGGAGAAACAACUUUGGUUGAUGGACAGAUAAGGAAACAUCCCCUUCUAUCUAGAUUAACUUCUACAUAUAAAUCCUUCCAAAUAAAUUAAUAAUCAUUUUUAUUUCACUUUAUUCUUCAUAUUUUAUUUUUUCCACAAUUUUAAAAAAUCUGUAAUUUUGUUUUAAUUAAUUAAAUACUUUUGCGUAUCAAAAAAGAAUAUGUUAGGUUAGAGGCUGGAUUCAACUACAAGGAAAUAAGUAAAAACAUAUACAAAGUUCAACAUUAGACCAAAAGAAAUAUAAAUUUUUAAUUUUGAAGUCUAGAAUUUUUUAAAAAUAUAUAUAUUAAAGUCACAAAUAAAAAUAAAUAAAAAAGUCGUCCCGAUCGUAAUUCAAAAGAUAUAUGCUAAGAUAAUUAACCAAAAAAAAAAGGAAUGGAAAUAUGGCAUCAUUUUGAAUAGGCCAUAUUUAAUUUUUUUUUAUGUACAAUUUUUUUUUUUGAUACAGUACUAGCGUCAAAUCUCUACAAACAUUAUUAUUAGUCAAAUUUUGUAUAAAAUAUAUAUUUUAAACAAUUAUUAUAAUAUGUCAAUAUAUAUAUAUACACAUGUGAAUACAUUUAUUUGAUGUGGACAUAAAUGAUUACCCAAAGAAAAGACUACUGCUUAAAGUAAAAUAAUUAGAAUAGUUGAAAAACAGUGUUGUGUGGUAUUUAGAAUUAUUAUGAUUAUUAUUAUUAUUAUUAUUAUUAUUAUUAUCUAACUUAAUCUGAUGUUUUGGUAACGACAUAUCUUGGCUUGUGGGCAUAUAAUUAUUCGUUGGUUGAAUCUUGAAUAUGUGGUUUAUUACCGUUUUCAUCACCCAAACUUUUUAAAAACCUUUUUUAUAUUCAAAUUUACGAUUAUUUUGUCUCACACUUUUUCUUUGAUUAUUAUUAUUAGUAGUUUAAUCACCAUUACGAUUCGUUGAAUGAUAAAUAGAAUAUGGAAGAGCGUGAAUGCCACGCUUCAUGUGAAGCCUUGAUUCAGUCAACGAGGUCAAACUUUGGGCUUUCGUCAUCAUCAACCAAUCAUCAUUUAAAGUUCUGAAUAUAACGGUAACCAUCUUCUUUUUCAUUGCACGCUGUAACAAGCUCUGCCAUUUUUUAUCCUUUUUCUUUUGCCCUGUGAGGCCCAAACUUUCUUUCUUUUUAAAUUUAAAAUAAAGAUUCAAACAAACAAACAAACAAAAAAAAACUGAAAUACCAGUUACUUUAUCCAGAAGAUUGAGUCAAACGUUUUUUUUUUAUUAUCGUAAGAUUAAUGCAAACUAUUUAUCUCACUUAUUCAUAACUAUUUUUCUAACUGAAAACCUUACCAGUUAUCUACUAUGGAGUUCGGCACAAUCUUUGACUAAAAAAAUGUGCAACAUGAGAGCUU